CCCUACGGGGUGCAGCAGGCGCGAGACUUCUACAAUGCACGAAAGUGUGAUAGAGGGACUUCGAGUGCUAGCUUUGCUAGCUUUUGUUAACUUUAGAACGGUUAACGAUUAAGGACUGGGUAAGAUGCGUGCCAGCCGCCGCGGUAAUACGUACAGUCCGAGUGGUAUUCCCUUAUAUUGGGCCUAAAGCGUUCGUAGCCGGUUCAGUAAGUCCUUUGUGAAAUCGGCUAUCUUAAGUAGUCGAAUUGCAAGGGAUACUGCUAGACUCGAGACCGGGAGACGUAAAGGGAAUUUUUGGAGUAGUGGUGAAAUGCUGUGAUCCCAAAAAGACCACCUGUAGCGAAGGCGCUUUACGAGAACGGCUCUGACGGUGAGGAACGAAAGCUGGGGGAGCGACCGGGAUUAGAUACCCCGUUAGUCCCAGCCGUAAACGAUGUGGACUAGGUGUCCUAGCACUCAUGUAGUGUAAGGGUGCCGAAGCGAAGGUUUUAAGUCCACCGCCUGGGAAGUAUACUCGCAAGGGUGAAACAUAAGGAAUUGACAAGGAGCAC
rnacentral:rRNA from 1 species